CACAGUCAUUCUAGUAGUGCUCGCCCUCUGCUCAGUCCUUUCUACGGCCUUGCUGCAGUGAUUAAAUGGUUCUUCUCUCACAUGUUGAUGUUCUUACUGGAGUUCAACUUCUGUGGGCUGUGGCACUCGGAUUACGUUGUAGACGGUAAAUGCUCUCAAUACUUUGUGUGACAAAG